CAUCAAUUGAGACUCCGUUAGUAGUGGCGAGCGAACGCGGACUAGGCCAGUGGCCUGUGUGAGAUAACGAGAACACUCUGGAAAGGGUGGCCAUAGUGGGUGACAGCCCCGUAUCGGUAAAGGCACACAGGUCCUUGAGUAGGGCGGGACACGUGAAAUCCUGUCUGAACAUGGGGGGACCACUCUCCAAGCCUAAGUACUCGCAUAUGACCGAUAGUGAACCAGUACCGUGAGGGAAAGGUG
rnacentral:rRNA from 11 species